rnacentral:rRNA from 1 species
GUUGCAUGGCUGUCGUCAGCUCGUGUCGUGAGAUGUUCGGUUAAGUCCGCUAACGAGCGCAACCCGCGUUGUGUGUUACAAGUGUCACACAAUACCGCCGGUAUUAAGUCGGAGGAAGGUACGGAUGACGUCAAGUCAGCAUGACCUUUAUAUCCAGGGCUACACACACGCUACAAUGGUCAGCACAAUAGGUUGCCAAGUCGUGAGACGGAGCCAAUCCUCCAAAGCUGGCCUCAGUUCAGAUUGUAGGCUGCAACCCGCCUGCAUGAAGUUGGAUUUGCUAGUAAUCGUAGAUCAGCAAUGCUACGGUGAAUACGUUCUCGGGUCUU